AAAUAGAGAAGUAAAAUUACGUUUAGUUUCGACCUAAAUAUAAAGAAUUAUUUAUUCUUCCUAUUUA
rnacentral:tRNA from 1 species